GGCAAGGUGGCCGAGUGGUUAAGGCGUACGACUCAAGCGUUCGCGCUUUCUUCGAAAGAAGUUCUCUUCUUCAAGAUUUUAGUCUUGAAGAUUUCGUAUGGAGCAAUCCUCCUGGGUUCGAAUCCCAGUCUUGUCA
rnacentral:tRNA from 1 species